GGAUUAGGCCAACUGUCAGCAGGUUGUCAGGUGGAGAGUGAGGUUGGCUUGCUACUGCUGCUAAAGAUUCGGGGGCAUAAAGAGAAAAGGAUUGAAAAGCAUGUGGCAAAUUUAGGUUUCUGUGUGGACAUACGUUUUCAAUUCCUUUGGAUAAAAAUAUCAAGGGGAACAAAUUCUGGAU